AGGAUCAUUACACAAAUAUGAAGGCGGGCUGGAAUCUCUCGGGGUUACAGCCUUGCUGAAUUAUUCACCCUUGUCUUUUGCGUACUUCUUGUUUCCUUGGUGGGUUCGCCCACCACUAGGACAAACAUAAACCUUUUGUAAUUGCAAUCAGCGUCAGUAACAAAUUAAUAAUUACAACUUUCAACAACGGAUCUCUUGGUUCUGGCAUCGAUGAAGAACGCAGCGAAAUGCGAUAAGUAGUGUGAAUUGCAGAAUUCAGUGAAUCAUCGAAUCUUUGAACGCACAUUGCGCCCUUUGGUAUUCCAAAGGGCAUGCCUGUUCGAGCGUCAUUUGUACCCUCAAGCUUUGCUUGGUGUUGGGCGUCUUGUCUCUAGCUUUGCUGGAGACUCGCCUUAAAGUAAUUGGCAGCCGGCCUACUGGUUUCGGAGCGCAGCACAAGUCGCACUCUCUAUCAGCAAAGGUCUAGCAUCCAUUAAGCCUUUUUUCAACUUUUGACCUCGGAUCAGGUAGGGAUACCCGCUGAACUUAAGCAUAUCAAUAAGCGGAGGAA
rnacentral:rRNA from 2 species